rnacentral:rRNA from 1 species
CGAAGCGUGCGAUUGGAUUGCACGUCUAAGCAGUAAGGCUGAGUAUUAGGCAAAUCCGGUACUCGUUAAGGCUGAGCUGUGAUGGGGAGAAGACAUUGUGUCUUCGAGUCGUUGAUUUCACACUGCCGAGAAAAGCCUCUAGAUAGAAAAUAGGUGCCCGUACCGCAAACCGACACAGGUAGUCAAGAUGAGAAUUCUAAGGUGAGCGAGCGAACUCUCGUUAAGGAACUCGGCAAAAUGACCCCGUAACUUCGGGAGAAGGGGUGCUCUUUAGGGUUAACGCCCAGAAGAGCCGCAGUGAAUAGGCCCAAGCGACUGUUUAUCAAAAACACAGGUCUCUGCUAAACCGUAAGGUGAUGUAUAGGGGCUGACGCCUGCCCGGUGCUGGAAGGUUAAGAGGAGUGGUUAGCUUCUGCGAAGCUACGAAUCGAAGCCCCAGUAAACGGCGGCCGUAACUAUAACGGUCCUAAGGUAGCGAAAUUCCUUGUCGGGU